rnacentral:rRNA from 1 species
AGCGAACGCUGGCGGCAGGCUUAACACAUGCAAGUCGAGCGGGCACUUCGGUGUCAGCGGCAGACGGGUGAGUAACACGUGGGAACGUACCCUUUGGUUCGGAAUAACGCUGGGAAACUAGCGCUAAUACCGGAUACGCCCUUUUGGGGAAAGGCUUGCUGCCGAAGGAUCGGCCCGCGUCUGAUUAGCUAGUUGGUGGGGUAAUGGCCUACCAAGGCGACGAUCAGUAGCUGGUCUGAGAGGAUGAUCAGCCACACUGGGACUGAGACACGGCCCAGACUCCUACGGAAAGCAGCAGUGGGGAAUAUUGGACAAUGGGCGCAAGCCUGAUCCAGCCAUGCCGCGUGAGUGAUGAAGGCCUUAGGGUUGUAAAGCUCUUUUGUCCGGGACGAUAAUGACGGUACCGGAAGAAUAAGCCCCGGCUAACUUCGUG